AAGCGGAUUAAGACACCAAGCAGAUUAUUGUUUAAGUCUGGUCCGCUAAGCAGCACGUCAUUCAGGGACACACCGUCAUGUUUGGCACUUGAAUCAAAAACCACUCUUAUUUGAUUUGGUUUUUUAGGGAUGAUAGACCUCGAACAGAGGUAAGUACCACCUUUCUUGAUGUUCCUCAAGUUCUGAUGCUAGUUCUGCGUGGUCAUUCUCAAAUAACUUUUCAUGAACUCUAGGAAGUGUUCUUUCAUGUCUGUGCGUCUUUGUUCUAGAGUUCGUCGGAGAGAUAAAAGUCGUCGCAGAGCCACCUCUCUGUUGUUUGGAAGAUGGUGGCGGGGUUUGCAGAAUGGCAGCGGUGCUACCCAAAAAGACGCUUAAGAGAAGCGAGAAAAUUACAAGAGAUAGAGAUAGAUUAACAUAGUGAGAAAAAAAUAAAUAAAUAAUAAAUAAAUAAAUAACAAAGGACACCCAGGAGAGAGCUAGGGAUUUUUUAGCAUUUCGAGAUCAUCUAUCCUUGUACAGAGUUUCACAGCAUUCUUUCCUUUCAUAUGUUUCAGAGAUGAAAAGUAACAGUACAAUUCUUUGUGAAAAGCAAAAAAUUUGGGAAUGGAUUUCAUAAAUCUGUUCUUACGUAUGAAGAAUUUUCCAAGUAUUACUAUGGAGUUGAUCAACAUAUUGUGACAGUUAUCUUUGACAAUAAAACCAUAUAAAACAUUUUCUUUCUUUAAAACAGGAACAGGCAGAUAUUUAGACAACCAAUGGAAUAAAUCACUCCAGAGGGCAUUGAUGUAAAUACAAUCAUAGAACAUAUGAUCUGUUGUUUCUGCGUUAUUGGUACAAAACACACAGUUCUUACAGUCAAAACCAAAUCUCUUAGAAAGAAACUCAGAAGAUGGAUAGAUUCCAUUUAGGACCUUGUAGUGCACUUCCUUAACCUUUGGCACAAUUGGAAAUUUAAAGAAAAAGGAUCUUAAACAUUCAGCGUCUUUUUUGGAAAAAAACCUGGAGAUUGAGUUGUAAGAUCUAGAGAACGGGUACAGUUCUUUGUUAAAUAUUUGUCUAAUAUCGAGGUUACUUAUUUUACCUUCAAACAAAUUACUCCCUUGUACCAAAAGCGAAGGAAGCUUUGGAGUCGAACAGUCUCGAUGCCGGUGAGAUAUCAUUAAAAGAACUUGCUUAGGUAUUGCAUUAAAAACUUUUUUAUAUUGCUGUUUGUCUAUAAUAUUAAAUUUAGCACAAAAAUCCUCGAAUGAGAGUAAGUUGCCAUUACAGUCCAGUAAAUGAGAAACAGACCAAAUGCCUUUAUCUAACCAGUUUUGUAUAAACAGAGAUUUACGAUUAUGUAAAAUAUACCUGCAGUUCCAAAUUGGGAUAUUGUGGGGACUAAAAUUAUGUUUGUAUAUCAUUUUCCAAUAAAACAGAGUUUGAUAAUGAAAUGAAGAGAUUUUAUAGUGAAAUAUCUUGAGGUCAUAGUCACAACUAAGGAGAAAUUUGAUGCCACCAAGUUUCAUAAAGAUAUUGUUGGGAAUGUGAAACCAAAUUUGUGUUUUUUUAUUUAGAAAUUGUUUUAACCAGUUGAUUUUGAUUGUACCAUCAAUGCAUUCAAAAUCAAUUGCCUUAACCCCGCCUUCUUCAUAGUUCCUAAUCAUUGUACUCUUUUUUAUAUAAUGCGUUUUACCUUUCCAGAUGUAGUUAAAGUUUGCUUGGUUUAUAGCUUUAAUUGCUUCCUUGGGAACUGACAAAGAUUGGGCUGGGUAGAUGAAGCGAGAGAUGGUUUCAGUUUUUGUAAGUAAUGUUCGCCCGAUAAUAGAUAGAUCUCUCUAAGACCAAGAGUUGAGAUGAACUUUACAUUUUUCCAAGUUCCCCCAGAUAUUGAGUUUGGUUAAUUGAUUCACGUCCUUUGUAAUUUGUAUGCCUAGAUACUUAACUGUUGUUUUCACAGGGAUGGAAUGAAUAACUGAGAGAUUACAAUCAUGAAUAGGUAGAAGUUCACAUUUAUUGAGAUUCAAUUUAAGGAUUUUUGGGAGUUGGUCGCUAUUUUCCAUAAAUAUGGCUGUAUCAUCAGCAAGUUGGCUAAUUGUCAGUUGUUGAUCAAAUAUUGUUAGUUUUUUAAAAUCUGAAUUUUUAAUAAGAAUGGAUA
ensembl:lncRNA